GAUGAACGCUGGCGGCGUGCCUAAUACAUGCAAGUCGAGCGAACGGACGAGAAGCUUGCUUCUCUGAUGUUAGCGGCGGACGGGUGAGUAACACGUGGAUAACCUACCUAUAAGACUGGGAUAACUUCGGGAAACCGGAGCUAAUACCAGAUAAUAUUUUGAACCGCAGGGUUCAAAAGUGAAAGACGGUCUUGCUGUCACUUAUAGAUGGAUCCGCGCUGCAUUAGCUAGUUGGUAAGGUAACGGCUUACCAAGGCAACGAUGCAUAGCCGACCUGAGAGGGUGAUCGGCCACACUGGAACUGAGACACGGUCCAGACUCCUACGGGAGGCAGCAGUAGGGAAUCUUCCGCAAUGGGCGAAAGCCUGACGGAGCAACGCCGCGUGAGUGAUGAAGGUCUUCGGAUCGUAAAGCUCUGUUAUUAGGGAAGAACAUAUGUGUAAGUAACUGUGCACAUCUUGACGGUACCUAAUCAGAAAGCCCCGGCUAACUACGUG
rnacentral:rRNA from 1 species